UACGUAGGGGGCAAGCGUUGUCCGGAUUUAUUGGGCGUAAAGAGCGUGUAGGCGGCCUUACAGGUCAGCUGUGAAAACUCGAGGCUCAACCUCGAGACGUCGGUUGAAACCGUAAGGCUAGAGUCCGGAAGAGGAGAGUGGAAUUCCCGGUGUAGCGGUGAAAUGCGCAGAUAUCGGGAAGAACACCCGUGGCGAAGGCGGCUCUCUGGGACGGUACUGACGCUGAGACGCGAAAAGCGUGGGGAGCGAACAGG
rnacentral:rRNA from 1 species